rnacentral:rRNA from 1 species
UACGAGGGGAGCAAGCGUUGUUCGGAUUUACUGGGCGUAAAGGGCGCGUAGGCGGUCGUGACAAGUCACUUGUGAAAUCUCCGGGCUUAACUCGGAACGGUCAAGUGAUACUGUCGGACUAGAGUACAGAAGGGGCAACUGGAAUUCUCGGUGUAGCGGUGAAAUGCGUAGAUAUCGAGAGGAACACCUGCGGCGAAGGCGGGUUGCUGGGCUGAUACUGACGCUGAGGAGCGAAAGCAUGGGUAGCAAACAGG